rnacentral:rRNA from 1 species
UACGUAGGGCGCAAGCGUUAUCCGGAAUUAUUGGGCGUAAAGAGCUCGUAGGCGGUUUGUCGCGUCUGCCGUGAAAGUCCGAGGCUCAACCUCGGACUUGCAGUGGGUACGGGCAGACUAGAGUGUGGUAGGGGAGACUGGAAUUCCUGGUGUAGCGGUGGAAUGCGCAGAUAUCAGGAGGAACACCGAUGGCGAAGGCAGGUCUCUGGGCCAUUACUGACACUGAGAAGCGAAAGCAUGGGGAGCGAACAGG